rnacentral:rRNA from 1 species
UAGGGAAUCUUCGGCAAUGGACGAAAGUCUGACCGAGCAACGCCGCGUGAGUGAAGAAGGUUUUCGGAUCGUAAAACUCUGUUGUUAGAGAAGAACAAGGACGUUAGUAACUGAACGUCCCCUGACGGUAUCUAACCAGAAAGCCACGGCUAACUACGUGCCAGCAGCCGCGGUACUACGUAGGUGGCAAGCGUUGUCCGGAUUUAUUGGGCGUAAAGCGAGCGCAGGCGGUUUCUUAAGUCUGAUGUGAAAGCCCCCGGCUCAACCGGGGAGGGUCAUUGGAAACUGGGAGACUUGAGUGCAGAAGAGGAGAGUGGAAUUCCAUGUGUAGCGGUGAAAUGCGUAGAUAUAUGGAGGAACACCAGUGGCGAAGGCGGCUCUCUGGUCUGUAACUGACGCUGAGGCUCGAAAGCGUGGGGAGCAAACAGG